rnacentral:rRNA from 1 species
UACGAAGGGGGCCAGCGUUGUUCGGAAUUACUGGGCGUAAAGCGUGCGCAGGCGGCUGCUCAAGUCAGGGGUGAAAGCCCAGAGCUCAACUCUGGAAUUGCCUUUGAGACUGAGUGGCUUGAGUACGGGAGAGGUGAGUGGAAUUCCCAGUGUAGAGGUGAAAUUCGUAGAUAUUGGGAAGAACACCGGUGGCGAAGGCGGCUCACUGGCCCGUAACUGACGCUCAUGCACGACAGCGUGGGGAUCAAACAGG